rnacentral:rRNA from 1 species
GACGAACGCUGGCGGCGUGCUUAACACAUGCAAGUCGAACGGAAAGGCCCCUUUGGGGGUACUCGAGUGGCGAACGGGUGAGUAACACGUGAGUAACCUGCCCUUGACUUCGGGAUAACUUCAGGAAACUGGGGCUAAUACCGGAUAGGAAUCCUUGCUGCCUGGUGGGGGUUGGAAAGCUUCGGCGGUUUUGGAUGGACUCGCGGCUUAUCAGCUUGUUGGUGGGGUAGUGGCUUACCAAGGCUUUGACGGGUAGCCGGCCUGGGAGGGCGACCGGCCACAUUGGGACUGAGAUACGGCCCAGACUCCUACGGGAGGCAGCAGUGGGGAAUAUUGCACAAUGGGCGGAAGCCUGAUGCAGCAACGCCGCGUGCGGGAUGACGGCCUUCGGGUUGUAAACCGCUUUCAGCAGGGGCGAAGCUUGUGGUGACGGUACCUGCAGAAGAAGCACCGGCUAACUACGUG